UAAAAGGGCCUUUGCCGUCAGUGGCACACAGUUCCAAUCGGUCUGUGCGGAAUCGCAAUCAAGAGAUUUCGGAGGCAUAAUUUAUGAAACCGGAGGCAGCUGAGCUGAAGAGUUCGGCGCCCGG
rnacentral:snRNA from 1 species